GCCGAUUACCAGGGGAAACACCUCGAAUCAGGCCAGCCACCGCCGGACCCGAAAAGCCACCCGGAGCCUCUCGUAAUGAAGGGGUCCCCGGUUCGAAUCCGGGCGUCGGCU
rnacentral:tRNA from 1 species